UGCUCCAUCCCCACGACCAAGGUGUGUCUGAACGCCACAAAAGCCCUCACCAUGCUGGCUGAAGCCCCCGAGGGCCGUAAGUUACUGCUGCCCCGUGUGCCCACCUUCCGUUACCUCCUGACGCAUAAAAAUGAGGCCAUACGGCGAGCAGCCGAAGUCGCCAUCAAAGUGAUUGAGUGGAAGCCGUGACUCCCGUUUCGGCCAGACCCGAUAGGCUAACUCUGUCCCUGAAUAAACGAGUUGACUCUC
rnacentral:lncRNA from 1 species